GAUCCUCAAAAUGAGGCUCGAUUUUUCUUUUUUCCUUUCUUUCCUUCUAUAACAGUUAGAUGGACAGGGGAUUUUUUCUUUCUUCUAUUUUGUUUUUUUAGGGAUGAAAGAGAACCAACAUUUGAACGACGGUUUGUUUGUUUACCAUCCUUGUGCUUGAAUCUCUUCUUAGAUCUUUUUGCGGCUUUAAUAAAUGCUCGCUGCUCUUGCUUCUCAGGGGUUGAUAGGUAAAAAUGUCGGAAGAAAAAAUAAACAAUACCACCGAUCAAAAUAAUGACAGCUAUUCUCUGUAAAAAACCGGCCGGAUUUGCAAGUAGACUUCCAAAAAUGCCUAUACCUGCAAAGAUAAUGAGACCUGUUACAACCAAAUUUGCAGUCCGAUUUUUCAAGAAAGCCACCUCCCUAAGAGCAUAAUGAGCAUUUUUUCCCUUUUUUAAACUUCCAGACUAAUACUUUUACACAAUUUCCUCCGAUUUUAAUCGUUCGUCUGUUUCUUUUUCUAAUCUUAAGAGCUCUUUAAACGAAAGAAUUGCAACUUCCACUUGGUCGUUGGUCGGUUCUUUUGUUGUUAAGAGCUGAAGCCAUAACCCUGGGAGUCCAAGAUAUUUUAAUAUUGGAACAUUCCGGAGCCUAUUUGUCAUCUGCAGUACUUCAAAAGAAAUCCCGAGUACGACAGGGAUUAAAGCUAGGCGAUUGAUUACCCUUACCCAUAAAGGCUCUGUUGGAACGAGCAUAUAAACAAAAACACCGAUGAUUACUGUAAACAAAAUAAAACUGCUUCCGCACCUGUAAUGAA
rnacentral:antisense_RNA from 1 species